rnacentral:lncRNA from 1 species
UGGCAACUCGUUAAGGGUUUACUGUGGUGCGCGUGUGUGAGUGUUUGUACAGCGAUCAUUUGAGCGAGAACCGGCGGCGCUUCUUUGUGCGCGGUAUCUGCUAGCUGGCGCGUACGUGGCGCCAAUCCCCGAGCCCGUGCGAUUGUGUGCAGUAGGUCACUCACUAUACGCGCAUUGUGCAGAUUUGCCAGUACGCUCCGUGCUAUCGUCUGUGUCUCUUCGCGCCAACAUCGCUGAUUGUGCAGGCAGUGCGCGACUGCGGCGCGUAGCAUGUAGAGCCUGCGCCCGUCGACUUUGAUCUGCGGGCGUGAAAUGUCGGCUGCGCCUUUGUGGUAUUAAAAGCGUGUGGUGAGCUUCCAACGGCACUACGGGUCCACGCCGCAUGAGCUGCCGGUCAGAGUAUAAGAGCCUCUUUAUUGUUAGCGUACUGCUUGGCGGUAACAGGUGCCCUGCUUGGGUUCAGAUUACUGGAUACGCCGUCACUUGAACGGCGGCGGCCGGAGCAGGACUGCGGCUGCGGCCGUUUCAUUGCCAGCUGUGAGGAUGAAGCAGAUUCAUGGCCGCAGAUCGGACGCCUCCCGUGAGUUUCCCUUUUCAGCAAUAGAGGCCUUGGAUGCCUUUCCACCUGCGUUGCAUCCUAUGGCUGACCAGUCCAACGAUCUCGGCAGAAUCGUUACACAUGAAGAAGUCCGGCUGGCCCCAAGCCUGGUGUGAAAUGAAGAAAUGGCACUCCACAUCAAUUCACGUUUACUUGUCGUCAUAGCCAGUCUGUUAGCUUAAUUUUUGGUUCUUCAUAUUGAAUUCCCAAGAAAGGUACCAACUCUCAUUCAUCGAAAACAAAUUUUUGCACUUGGGGACGGAGCCAUGCACAAAGCCUUUGAGCUCAUUAAUAUCUUUAUUUCUUAAAGAAAGUGCAGCUCCUGCGUGGAGCAAUAGGUUGAAUAAGACGAGGGUAAAUAAUAAGAUGGCGACGUUAGUCAUCAACAGUUGUCCAACAAAGGAAGUCUCAUGCUGGAGCCAACAUCUUUGCAAUGGAACCAAAUGGCUCCAGCCUGAGGCAUUCGUUGUUCAACCUGGCAAGUCUCCUUGUCGAAAUAUUUUCCUCUAGCCUGAGACCUUUAUCCGUUCCACCACCCUCGACCAACAAUACACCUUUGCAUUUGGCAACCCAUGGCAAGGUAAAUUCACAUUCAAAGAAAGAGAAGGUAGUGUGCACCCUGGAAGGUAGCACGAACAGUAUUUUAUUUACUUAAUGAAAUGCAGGUUUGCUAUCCAAUUACUUUAUUUUGAUCCCCAUUUUAUAAUUGGACAGCAUGGUUCCUCAGGAAGAAUAAUAAUUCGAAGCGCACACAAUUUUGCUCCUUUAUGUCCGUUAAAUCUGUCCUGGUUGCUACACUAUCAGCCCUGUCUGCAAUUGCAUUGCAGUGUUUUGAGUAUGCAUCCCACUUCAAAAGAAUAGUUAGGAUUUUACUUCAGAAUGUCUGCUCCUGCGUUGCAGCAUGAAUUUUAUAUCUAGGUGUUGACUGGGAUGCCAUGUGCU